CUAUCGUUAACUGAAUACAUAGGUUAACGAGGCGAACCGGGGGAACUGAAACAUCUAAGUACCCCGAGGAAAAGAAAUCAACCGAGAUUCCCCCAGUAGCGGCGAGCGAACGGGGAGCAGCCCAGAGUCUGAAUCAGCUUGUGUGUUAGUGGAACGGUCUGGAAAGUCCGACGGUACAGGGUGAUAGUCCCGUACACCAAAAUGCACAGGCUGUGAACUCGAAGAGUAGGGCGGGACACGUGGUAUCCUGUCUGAAUAUGGGGGGACCAUCCUCCAAGGCUAAAUACUCCUGACUGACCGAUAGUGAACCAGUACCGUGAGGGAAAGGCGAAAAGAACCCCGGCGAGGGGAGUGAAAAAGAACCUGAAACCGUGUACGUACAAGCAGUGGGAGCACCUUCGGGUGUGACUGCGUACCUUUUGUAUAAUGGGUCAGCGACUUAUAUUCUGUAGCAAGGUUAACCGUAUAGGGGAGCCGCAGGGAAACCGAGUCUUAACUGGGCGUUAAGUUGCAGGGUAUAGACCCGAAACCCGGUGAUCUAGCCAUGGGCAGGUUGAAGGUUGGGUAACACUAACUGGAGGACCGAACCGACUAAUGUUGAAAAAUUAGCGGAUGACUUGUGGCUGGGGGUGAAAGGCCAAUCAAACCGGGAGAUAGCUGGUUCUCCCCGAAAGCUAUUUAGGUAGCGCCUCGUGAACUCAUCUUCGGGGGUAGAGCACUGUUUCGGCUAGGGGGUCAUCCCGACUUACCAACCCGAUGCAAACUACGAAUACCGAAGAAUGUUAUCACGGGAGACACACGGCGGGUGCUAACGUCCGUCGUGAAGAGGGAAACAACCCAGACCGCCAGCUAAGGUCCCAAAGUCAUGGUUAAGUGGGAAACGAUGUGGGAAGGCACAGACAGCCAGGAUGUUGGCUUAGAAGCAGCCAUCAUUUAAAGAAAGCGUAAUAGCUCACUGGUCGAGUCGGCCUGCGCGGAAGAUGUAACGGGGCUAAACCAUGCACCGAAGCUGCGGCAGCGACACUAUGUGUUGUUGGGUAGGGGAGCGUUCUGUAAGCCUGCGAAGGUGUGCUGUGAGGCAUGCUGGAGGUAUCAGAAGUGCGAAUGCUGACAUAAGUAACGAUAAAGCGGGUGAAAAGCCCGCUCGCCGGAAGACCAAGGGUUCCUGUCCAACGUUAAUCGGGGCAGGGUGAGUCGACCCCUAAGGCGAGGCCGAAAGGCGUAGUCGAUGGGAAACAGGUUAAUAUUCCUGUACUUGGUGUUACUGCGAAGGGGGGACGGAGAAGGCUAUGUUAGCCGGGCGACGGUUGUCCCGGUUUAAGCAUGUAGGCUGAUUAUCCAGGCAAAUCCGGAUAAUCAAGGCUGAGGUGUGAUGACGAGGCACUACGGUGCUGAAGUAACAAAUGCCCUGCUUCCAGGAAAAGCCUCUAAGCAUCAGGUAACAUCAAAUCGUACCCCAAACCGACACAGGUGGUCAGGUAGAGAAUACCAAGGCGCUUGAGAGAACUCGGGUGAAGGAACUAGGCAAAAUGGUGCCGUAACUUCGGGAGAAGGCACGCUGGUGUGUAGGUGAAGUCCCUGCGGAUGGAGCUGAGACCAGUCGAAGAUACCAGCUGGCUGCAACUGUUUAUUAAAAACACAGCACUGUGCAAACACGAAAGUGGACGUAUACGGUGUGACGCCUGCCCGGUGCCGGAAGGUUAAUUGAUGGGGUUAUCCGUAAGGAGAAGCUCUUGAUCGAAGCCCCGGUAAACGGCGGCCGUAACUAUAACGGUCCUAAGGUAGCGAAAUUCCUUGUCGGGUAAGUUCCGACCUGCACGAAUGGCGUAAUGAUGGCCAGGCUGUCUCCACCCGAGACUCAGUGAAAUUGAACUCGCUGUGAAGAUGCAGUGUACCCGCGGCAAGACGGAAAGACCCCGUGAACCUUUACUAUAGCUUGACACUGAACAUUGAGCCUUGAUGUGUAGGAUAGGUGGGAGGCUUUGAAGCGUGGACGCCAGUCUGCGUGGAGCCAACCUUGAAAUACCACCCUUUAAUGUUUGAUGUUCUAACGUUGGCCCCUGACCGGGGUUGCGGACAGUGUCUGGUGGGUAGUUUGACUGGGGCGGUCUCCUCCCAAAGCGUAACGGAGGAGCACGAAGGUUAGCUAAUCCUGGUCGGACAUCAGGAGGUUAGUGCAAUGGCAUAAGCUAGCUUGACUGCGAGCGUGACGGCGCGAGCAGGUGCGAAAGCAGGUCAUAGUGAUCCGGUGGUUCUGAAUGGAAGGGCCAUCGCUCAACGGAUAAAAGGUACUCCGGGGAUAACAGGCUGAUACCGCCCAAGAGUUCAUAUCGACGGCGGUGUUUGGCACCUCGAUGUCGGCUCAUCACAUCCUGGGGCUGAAGUAGGUCCCAAGGGUAUGGCUGUUCGCCAUUUAAAGUGGUACGCGAGCUGGGUUUAGAACGUCGUGAGACAGUUCGGUCCCUAUCUGCCGUGGGCGCUGGAGAAUUGAGGGGGGCUGCUCCUAGUACGAGAGGACCGGAGUGGACGCAUCACUGGUGUUCGGGUUGUCAUGCCAAUGGCACUGCCCGGUAGCUAAAUGCGGAAGAGAUAAGUGCUGAAAGCAUCUAAGCACGAAACUUGCCCCGAGAUGAGUUCUCCCUGAGACUUUAAGUCUCCUGAAGGAACGUUGAAGACGACGACGUUGAUAGGCCGGGUGUGUAAGCGCAGCGAUGCGUUGAGCUAACCGGUACUAAUGAACCGUGAGGCUUAACCUU
rnacentral:rRNA from 1 species